rnacentral:sRNA from 1 species
CAGGCAUGGUGGCAUGUGCCUGUAGUCCCAGUUUGUUGGGAGACUGAGGCAGGAGGACUGGUUGAGCCCAGGAGUUCAUGGCCAGCCUGUGCAACACAGCUAGACCCUGUUUCUU